UACGUAGGGACCAAGCGUUGUUCGGAUUUACUGGGCGUAAAGGGCGCGUAGGCGGCGUGACAAGUCAAUUGUGAAAUCUCCGGGCUUAACUCGGAGCGGUCAAUUGAUACUGUUGUGCUAGAGUACAGAAGGGGCAAUCGGAAUUCUUGGUGUAGCGGUGAAAUGCGUAGAUAUCAAGAGGAACACCUGAGGUGAAGACGGGUUGCUGGGCUGAUACUGACGCUGAGGCGCGAAAGCUAGGGUAGCAAACGGG
rnacentral:rRNA from 1 species